rnacentral:rRNA from 1 species
UACGGGGGGGGCAAGCGUUGUUCGGAUUUACUGGGCGUAAAGGGCGCGUAGGCGGCGUGUUAAGUCAGCUGUGAAAUCUCCAAGCUUAACUUGGAACGGUCAGCUGAUACUGAUGUGCUAGAGUGCAGAAGGGGCAACCGGAAUUCUUGGUGUAGCGGUGAAAUGCGUAGAUAUCAAGAGGAACACCUGAGGUGAAGACGGGUUGCUGGGCUGACACUGACGCUGAGGCGCGAAAGCUAGGGUAGCAAACGGG